UAGUUCAUGAACGGAUCUGUGU
rnacentral:piRNA from 1 species